rnacentral:rRNA from 1 species
UACGGGGGGGGCAAGAGGUGUUCGGAAUUACUGGGCGUAAAGGGCGCGUAGGCGGGUGGACAAGUCUCUCGUGAAAGCCCACGGCUCAACCGUGGAAUUGCGGGAGAUACUGUCUGUCUUGAGUCCGGGAGAGGAGGGUGGAAUUCCCAGUGUAGCGGUGAAAUGCGUAGAUAUUGGGAGGAACACAGGUGGCGAAGGCGGCUCUCUGGACCGGUACUGACGCUGAGGCGCGAAAGCUAGGGGAGCAAACAGG